rnacentral:tRNA from 1 species
GGAGGAAUGGCUGAGCGGUUGAAAGCGGCGGUCUUGAAAACCGUUGUACCGAGAGGUACCGUGGGUUCGAAUCCUACUUCCUCCG